UGUUCGCAUAAUAUACCGCGCUUGUAAUUCUCAAUAGGUUUAUAAAAACCUUUAAAAUUACGAAAAAACUGUGAAAGAUGUAUAAUUUUGACUUGAUUGUUGCAUGAAGCACAGAAUACGGCGAAAACGCCACCAACAACAAACAAAUUUAUGCAUAUAAUAGCUGCGGGGUGAGUCAUGUGUAGGCUUACAUAGAAUGAAAAGCAGGACUUUGCAUGCUAAGCGCUUAUUUUUCAUACUUUUUGUAACUUAUAGGCAGCCUGUCGUAUAAUAAGCCGUCAAACUAUCAACUUCCUAUGAUAACAAUGAGUUCUGCCAAACUUUUAAUCAAACAGCGUGUGAAAUGUGUAUAUAUGUUUAUAUAUAUUGAGACCCGCGUAGGGUUUUCAUAUUAGUGUAAAUUAAUUGAAGCGAUUAAUUAGAAACCAAAAUACGCCGACAAAGAGAGUGAAAAAUACCAUAUACAUAUAUUUUCGUCGCCAAUGCUAAUUCGUGGCAACACAACAAUUAGUUAACUGUCAGGGCGACUAUUGUUAAGGGCUAAAGGGAGAGUGAAAUAUCGACUACCAUAUAUACAUACAAAAAUUUAUGCUUAGGGCGAGCAUAAAAUAAGUAUAUAAUUAAUAGUUCGGCUAUAAAUAAAAAAAACUCACACAGAACGAAGGCGACAUAAUUUAGGAGUAAACUAAUUUUAUACGCCCAAAAAAUAACGAAAAUUUGGCGCACAAUGCUGAAGCUUUGCCUAACAUUACAUUUUAACUUAAAUGUUAUAUAAAUUUCGUGCCCGCCUGAGCUGUGUUUUCACUUAAAUUCCCCCCACACACAAUUAAUGCUAUAAAUAUACUAUGAAAAAGUAUACCUCUGUCACAGAAAAUCGGGGGAAAAUAUCUGAAAAGAAAGGUAGGUGUACGAAGACAUUGCGAGAUGAGUAAAAGUUCACACUUGAGCUACAAAAGUGAGUUGGCGUUCGAGCAUGAAGCGCCAAAUAAUAAUAAAAACAACAACAAAUGUAUAUUUCAGAACUGGUCGAAAAAAUGUGUAGGCUGAGGAAAAAUUUAUUACUAUUAAUGCAUUUAUACAUUUGUGUAGGUAUUAUGUUGUAUUUUUGCGUUGUUGUCGUUGAACUGGUGCGAGGUAGAGUUGGAAAAUGGAAAAAAAAUAUUACUGUGUUAUGCAGGUUUCAAGUAACCUUAAUGAAGUGAGUGACCACCUUACUUUAUUUAGGCUUAUAUACAAAAACUGUCAAAAAAAAAAUUUUAAUAUAAAAAAAAUUGAAAAGUAUAAAAAAAUAUUUAAAAUUCGAUAAAAUUUUGAUAAUAAAAAAAAUAAAAAACUUUUCAGAUUAAAAAAAAAUAUUUUGAGAAUCUAAGAAAAAAAAUGUUAAAAACAUUUUUGAAAACUUUUUCAAAGACCUAUUUUUACAACUCAUAAUUCUUAGAAACAAAAUUCUAGUACUUUUGAGCUCAAUAAUUUAUCCACCACAUGGCUCUCAUCACAAGUUUCAACUGCUUUAAUAUAUAAUUUAUAGUCAUCAAGCAUACGUCACUGGGCUCAAUCAAAUCAAUACAAGCGUGUUUGCUUCUUCCUUUUACGCGCCUUCUUCUCGCAGCAGGCACAAUGCAACGCUUCCAAAAAACAAGAAAAAUGUAAUUAUAAACAAAACGCAGCCGAAAAAGUGACUCAUACGUCUUGCUUACUCAAACGAAGCCCCCAACUGUUGUCGUUUGACAAACAUUUACUGUGGAUUACUUCUUAUUUUUUGUUUGUUAGUAGGUUUUGUUGUUGCUGCUGCUCGCUCGUACACACCGCUAAGUUUAUUGCCCUUUCGGCGACAUAUUGACUGCACGCAAAGGAUUUUUUAAAUGUCAUAAACGCCGCUGCUGCUGCCGUUGUGCUCGUAUAUUACAUUGUCUUGUUGUUGGUGUUGUUGUUUUACUUCCGCUUCGCUUCGUUGUUGCUCUUUGCGCUGUUUUUUAUGAAGCAAACUGAAGGUUAUACUUCACAACAACUGCAUGUUGUUAUAAUUAAAUGCGCGCAGCAAUUGUUGGGCGCUUCAAAUGUGAAAUGAAGGACACCGCAAUUGAGGACGCAUCAAGGAGUCUCGUCUCUACGCGCACUAAAACGUUUAGAGACUUAAAUACAGUCAUUAAACUUGGAGGAGGGAAGCAACAGUGCACAGCUGUCGUUGGUUAUUCUGCUACACGCUGCUAUCCGGCCGUUCGUCUGUCUGUCCGUUCGUCUGUGCGCUUGGCCUCAUUCUGCAGCUGUUGAUGCGCACUGACCAAGCUGCCGCCGCAAAGCCAAAGGUUAAGUGAAACAUAUUAAUCGACGGCGGACACUCCAGACACUACAGCGAGAAACGAAGUCAUAAAAACAAAAGAACUAAAACAACAACAAAGUAUUGUGGGAGAGUCAGAGCAGAAUGCGCCAGCAGUUAGGCAGGUAGUUUCCACCACACGCAUGUAUGUAUAAAUUUUUAAACAAAGAGCAGACUUUGCCCUUGUCCUGAAGACAGACACGACGCGCGGCGCAAACCUCCAGGUGCAUACAUACAUAUGUGCACAAGAAGCGUGAAAUAUGAUGAUCAAAAAUGAGCAGAGCAAAAUUAAAUAUGACCAGCAACAACUACAACCAACUACUAAGCAGACAGUCAGGGUCUACUGUAUGCGUGUGGGUGACCUGUAUAUUAUAUAUACAUAAAUAGGUGUGUUCGUGUGCAUGUAUUUGUGGUCAAAACUAAUGAAAAUGUACAAAGGACAGUGAAAAGUGAUAAAUAAAAAUCCAAUUGAAAAAGUCGAAACAACCGAGAAAUUAACGAAAUACAAGCGAGACAUACGCACACGCACAUAUACAAAAGCAAACACACAUACACGUGCAUUUAAUUUCAUACGACAACGCAGGUUAAUGACCCAAAUUGAAAUUCGUCGGUGAGGGACAAAGUUCGAAAUCCGUGUGUAUUAAAUUUCAUAAACACGCUGAAUUGCAUACUGUGUGUGACUGCACUAAAAAUUAAGAAGAAGAAGAAGAAGAGUAAAAACGCACAUACGAGAAUAUAUGCGAGCUGACAUUAUGCGAAAAAACAACGAAAAGAAUCAAAAAUGAAAUGAAAAAAAUUAACGCCGACGCAAUGCAGCAUUAGGACAAAAAUCUUCAAAAUUCAUGUGACACGCGAAGUUACUACAUCUUUAGUGCCUCUCUCACCAACAACUAAGAGAUAUGCGGUACAACGAAGCAAAACACCAACAAAGCAGACACACACGAAGCAGAUAAACGAUGUAGAAAAAAGAAACAUUUCAGCAGCGCUACUAAUGUAAAAUCAUUUGGAAAUGCUGGAAAAUAACUUACAGCUGCAAAGAAGGGGCGAGCGCAGCAUUUUCAAAGGCGGUAAUCAGCAGGCGGGCAGGCAAGGCGGUUCAACGGCUUUUAUAAACAACCGAAACAACAAAGACGGCUGUGAGUGAGUCAACAACAAUAAGAAAAACACGCAUAUAGACAAAAGAUAGCAGGAAGAAUAUAUAAACGUAGUGAGCGCAAGAGGGCGGGCGGUCAGAGUCCGCCGACUGCAUGGAAUGCACUUGAAACGAAAAUAGAAAAUUAAGUGCGAGGAGAAACAGCAGCGACAUGGAAGCAAUGCAAACAAAACUAAACGAAUAUACAUAUAUACAUAGGUAUAUACAUGCAUGUGCACGUAUUGCAUGUGUGUGUGCAGCAUGCAUGUAAAAUGGCGGGAAAAACAUUGCUGCGGAAUGCAACAGUGCGGAGCAUGAUAAAAGUGCAGCGGAAGGGAAGCACGUGUUGCAAACAAGCGAUAAACAGCGUCGAGGUAGACACAAAAACAAACACACACACACACGUGUUAUGUUCCGACUUUUAGUCGUAAUAACUUACAUUGCGGCGAUAAAAGACAGACAAUGUUUGAACUCAAUGGUGUAGCUGAUAGAGAACAAUAUCUAAUUAUGGCACAGACGACACAUUUUGCUGUUAUUUUUACAAACAAAUAUUUAACUAAAAUCACAAAGACGCAAUUGUACGCGUAAAUUGUU